rnacentral:rRNA from 1 species
UACGGGGGGUGCGAGCGUUGUCCGGAAUCACUGAGCGUAAAGGGCGCGUAGGUGGUCUGAUAAGGGUGUGGUGAAAGCCCGGGGCUCAACCCCGGGUCGGCCGUGCCGACUGUUAGACUAGAGUACUGUAGGGGCAGGCGGAAUUCCGGGUGUAGCGGUGGAAUGCGUAGAGAUCCGGAGGAAGACCGGUGGCGAAGGCGGCCUGCUGGGCAGUUACUGACACUGAGGCGCGACAGCGUGGGGAGCAAACAGG